rnacentral:rRNA from 1 species
AUUGAACGCUGGCGGCAGGCCUAACACAUGCAAGUCGAGCGAGCGGCGGACGGGUGAGUACUGUAUGGGGACUGCCCGAUAGAGGGGGAUAACUACUGGAAACGGUAGCUCAUACCGCAUACUAUCGGCUAACCCCUAUGGGAUUAGCUAGUAGGUGAGGGAAUGGCUCACCUAGGCGACGAUCCCUAGCUUGUCUGAGAGGCUGAUCAGCCAAACGGGGACUAAGACACGGCCCAGACUCCUACGGAGGCAGCAGUGGGGAAUAGUGCACAAUGGGCGCAAGCCUGAUGCAGCCAUGCCGCGUGUAUGAAGAAGGCCCUAGGGUUGUAAAGUACUUUAAGUCGGGAGGCGUUACCGACAGAAGAAGCACCGGCUAACUCCGUGCCAGCCGCCGCGGUAAUUC